rnacentral:lncRNA from 1 species
GCGGACCCUUCCCCCAAGUGAGGCUCCCGCCGCCAGGGCUGAUGGGAAGUGUAGUCCCUGGACAGGGACAGGCCAAUGGAAUGGUGUGCCUCCGUCUGUGUAUUUGGAGGCGACUGAGCUUCAAAGCUUCGCAGGCUCCCUCGGGGAACCCCGGCGUCUCUUGGUCCCUGCAGGCUCUUGGGUUUCCGGGAUUCGGCCCAGUUGGAUGCUGGGGCUUCUCCUCUCUUUCCCAGCACCGCCGCGGUACCCCCAUCCGGUGCCCGCGGCCCCCAGCCCCUGCUCCGACCCUCGGCGGGCGGCCUGCCCCUUUAAGAGUGGCCCCGCUGACAUCACGGCGGGGGGCGGGCGGGUGCUGGCCCGGCUCCCGGCUCCGCGGCGGCUGCAGGACCCGGCUCCGCUCUGCGCCCGCCUGCUGCUCAGGGGACCCCGGCCCGGGACGCCCCCUCCAGCUUCUUCCAGCCGCCCAGACCCCAGGCUCCGCCCCACGCCUGGGCAGAGCUCCAGUCUUCAUCAGGGCCAUCUCUGUGUCUUCUCCAGUCUCCAGACCUGCGAGUCUCAGAAUUUCACAGCCUCGAGGUCUCGGUGUGACUCUGGAUUCUCUGCUCUGUCUCUCUGCCGCUCUGUGUGCCCCUGCCCCUCUCGGGCUCUCUACCUCUGUUUCUAUUCUCUCUCGCUCCCUGCCUCCCCCAUUCUCGAGGCCCGUCUCCCUCCCUCCCCGCAUCCUUUCCCCUCUCCUUCCCUGCCCCUCCCCUCCUCCGCAGUAGCCAAUGAGCGGCCGCCGGUCGCAGCUCCCGGCGUCGUCCGCCGAGUGAGGCCGCGGGCGCGGGGGGUGGGGGGUGGGAGGCCGGGAGGGGGCCGGGACGCCGGGCUCCGGGGCGGGGGCGGGGGGCGCGGGCACCGGCGACCCCGGUGGCGGCGGCGGCGGCGGCGGCGGCCGGGGGAAGCCGCGGGGCCGGUCAUGCGGCUGCGGGGCCCGCGGCCCGGAGCGUCCGCCCAACCCUGA